AUUUCGAGGUAUAAAUAUCGGUGGAGAUUCCAAUACGUUAACAGUUGCUAAAAAUGAGCGGUCGCAAACGGAAUCACGAAUCGGCGUUUAAGCCACGAAAGAAGAUAAAAAUUAAAGAACACCAAACAAUUAAAAAAAGUGCUCGAAAAGGUUUAAAAGUGAAUCUGCCCAUUAACACUGGAAAAUUUGCUCAGUUGAUUGACGUAUACGUAUUAGAAAUGACACGGUGCUACAUAUUGGGUGCACUGAAUUUGCAUUAUUUCACCAGUGAUCAUUUCAAGCGCAGUACAGACGAGCAAAUCGAAGCAUUCUAUACUCAAUUCGUCGACAAAAAAUUUUUUCGAGAUUGGUUUUACGGCGUUCAGUUCAUUGAGCAUGCAUUUAACGACGCCAGAGAAAGCGGGUACAGGUUGUGUUACGGCAUUUGGUACUAUUGCCAAAAAUACGGUGUUCGAGCUCCAGUAAUUGGAGGAUUCGGGAAUGUAGUUGAAUACGCAGUACAAAUGUUUUAUACAAAUUACAAAAAUAAUAUUUGUAUGCACGCUCACUCACGCAUCCGAAAGUUUUUCACACAUCAAAACGCGAGCAAAGCACAAAUUGAUGACACCAUGGAUUUCUUAUUCAAGCAAAACUCCAACUGUGUGCCAGACCUGGAUUUGAUGUGGGAACUGGAAAAUACAUUAAAGCCAAUCCGAUUCGACGAUGGGAAAGGGUACAUUCGCAAUCAUGAACGUGAACGAAAAGCCGCAUUGAAGCGAGGUGAACGAACCGAGCUUCGUGAAUACAGAAAUUUCACCGUGGUACCAACGUCAUCGUUCGAAAGACAUUACAUUCGAAUUGAUCGUAGAGUGUUUUAUCGCAUGUUGAGACAGAUAGAAUGUCCACAUCGAUUAUUUCGCAAUAAAAACGGCGGCCCAAAACAGGAGGAAGAAAUCAAAAAUAAAGAAUGGGAUGUAUUAUGGCGUCUGUAUUUCGACAUCGAUAGCAUCGAAAGAGAACCGAGAAACAAAAAUGAUGGCCAUGCAACAAUAAAAUUCGACAACUCCAUUCAAACAGAUGGUGUCGGUAUGUCAUUUUUGAUGGAACGAACAAAAUUCAUCAUUGAAAAAGACGAUGAAGAGCGUAUGAAAGAGACACAAGAGAUGCUUCUGAAAAGCCAACAAGUGUAUGGUCUCGAUCCUGGACUACGUUUGGUCAUUGGUGGUGUGCGCAUUAACAAUUUCAACGAUCGAAAUAAUCGCACUGAAACAAUCAUUCGAUUGACAUCGGGCCAAUACCAAGAUAUGAUAAAUUCAUCGCGACGGAACAAAUGGCGCAAAAAGUUGACAACUGAAAUCGAUGAAAAGAUGCGUCUACAUCGUGAGUCAUUUGAUGAGCAGCCUGGUCCACGAGCCGAAGACCAUAAAUCAUAUGCUGAUCAUAUUUUGCGUCAUUUUGAAGAAAAGUUCACAGCAUACACACAGUAUGAAUACGCUUUGCAAGCAUUUCUCCAGUACAUUGACACGAAUAGAGCACUUGAUGCAUAUGCAACCAAGCUCAUCGAUGGUAAGCAAACGUUCAUAUUUGUCGGAGAUCGUUUCAUUGCGGCAGAUUCACCAGCCCGAGGAUAUAUUCGAUCGAAGGUGCGAGAUUUGUUCGAGAAGUUGAAACGUCGCCGUAAAUGUACAGUGGUCGAGGUGGACGAAUUUCGGACGACCAAAUUAUGUUCGUUGUGCUUCCGUGAACUUGAAAAACCGACAAAAAGAGGCAAAGUAAAGGAGAAAUAUCGCUAUCUCACAUGCCAUGGAUGCGAACCAUUGUGUGGAGAAAAUGUGCUUGGAAAAGCCCAAGGUCCGAUUGAAUCACGAAAAAGCAAUCGCAAAUUGACGCAGCAACGAAAACAUCGUCCCCGUACUGAUGGUCCACGUAUGGCAUCAAAAUUUCGUAAAUAUGAAGAGAAAACUCGAAUUGGGCGUACUAUCACCUGGAAUCGUGAUGCAAAUGCAGGUCGUAACAUUCUCUACAAAGGAUGGUGUGCUGUUAUGAAUAUAGAGCUACAUCCAGCAUUUCAACGGCAUGUUGAAGAAGAAGAAGAAAAUGCAGGAGGAGGAGAUCCACCGCCAGCACCGCCAGCACCGCCAGCACCACCAGCACGAGCUCGACAAUCAAGACGAGCAGCAUCCAAUCAAAAUCAACAAACAACACAACGAACAUUGCGUUCUCAUCUGGAUCAAGCGCGGAGCUCUCGGCCGUAAGCCCUGGGUUUUGUGCGGGAUUUCAACGUGGUCCUACAAUUCGCUACAAUUAUGUACUCACACGUGCAAGCCCAAUAUAUGUAUGUUGACAAAUGGCAUUCUUAUCGCAAAUGGUUCCGUCAGGACAAACAUUUGGCAUUGCAUAACAACCCGAACUGAUGUUUUGAAUGUAUCCUUCAGUACAUUGACACGCAAAUGAGCCCACAGUGUUUUCACAAAAAGAAUGUGUCAAUGUAUCACAAGGAUUAUGUUGUGCACACUGAAUUUUUAAAUAAAAACAUUACAUCACUCAAAUAUUUAAAUCAUAAAAAUUAUUUUACCUCAUCUAUAUCUUCACAAAAUGUUCGAUUACUAUUUAGUAUAAAACCAGUGGGGCAUGAGACACAUCUAUAAUAAGGUGAUGAUGACAUUGAAGAACAUUCGGCGUCUAUUUUGAAAUGAAAAUAUACAUAUGGCAUGAAAUUAAAAUUAAAAAAACAAGAAAUUUUUCCAUUAUUGCCCAAAAGGUAUUUGUGGUACCACCUUAUU